UACGUAGGGGGCGAGCGUUGUCCGGAGUUACUGGGCGUAAAGCGCUUGUAGGCGGUCCACCAAGUUUGGGGUGACAGUUGCCGACUUAAUCGGCAAAGUGCCUCAAAGACUGGCGGACUUGAGGGCCACAGAGGGACAUGGAACUCCAGGUGUAGUGGUGAAAUGCGUAGAUAUCUGGAAGAACACCAAAGGCGAAGGCAGUGUCCUGGGUGGUCGCUGACGCUGAGAGGCGAAAGCCAGGGGAGCGGACGGG
rnacentral:rRNA from 1 species